GAUGAACGCUGGCGGCGUGCCUAAUACAUGCAAGUCGAGCGAACAGACGAGGAGCUUGCUCCUCUGACGUUAGCGGCGGACGGGUGAGUAACACGUGGAUAACCUACCUAUAAGACUGGGAUAACUUCGGGAAACCGGAGCUAAUACCGGAUAAUAUAUUGAACCGCAUGGUUCAAUAGUGAAAGACGGUUUUGCUGUCACUUUUAGUUGAAUCCCCGCCGCAUUAGCUAGUUGGUAAGGUAACGGCUUACCAAGGCGACGAUGCGUGGCCGACCUGAGAGGGUGAUCGGCCACACUGGAACUGAGACACGGUCCAGACUCCUACGGGAGGCAGCAGUAGGGAAUCUUCCGCAAUGGGCGAAAGCCUGACGGAGCAACGCCGCGUGAGUGAUGAAGGUCUUCGGAUCGUAAAACUCUGUUAUUAGGGAAGAACAAAUGUGUAAGUAACUAUGCACGUCUUGACGGUACCUAAUCAGAAAGCCACGGCUAACUACGUG
rnacentral:rRNA from 1 species